UUCUAUUAGAACUUAUCAAUAGUAAAAUCUGCUCAAUGAUUUUUAAAUAGCCGCUAAAAGUGCUAAGGUAGCAUAAUCAUUUGCCUUUUAAUUGAAGGCUAGAACAAAAGAUUCAACAAUUAAAUUAAUUUCUUAAAAUUAAAUUUUAACUUAUUUUAAAUGUAAAAAAACAUUUAUUCAAAAGAAAGACGACAAGACCCUAUUAAACUUAACUUUAGUUAAACUGGGGCAGUUAAUUAAUUAAUAUUUUAAUAUUUAAUAUGUUAAAAAUAUCCAAUAAAAUUGAUUAAAUCAGUUACUAUAGGGAUAACAGCGUAAUAAAUUUUUAAAGAUCAUAUACAAAAAUAAGAUUACGACCUCGAUGUUGAAUAAUUAUCUUAUUUUCGCAAAAGAAAAUAAAGAAAGUCUGUUCGACUUGUAAAAAAUUACA
rnacentral:rRNA from 1 species